rnacentral:rRNA from 1 species
UACGAAGGGGGCUAGCGUUGCUCGGAAUCACUGGGCGUAAAGCGCACGUAGGCGGAUUCUUAAGUCGGUGGUGAAAUCCUGGAGCUCAACUCCAGAACUGCCUUCGAUACUGAGAGUCUUGAGUUCGGGAGAGGUGAGUGGAACUGCGAGUGUAGAGGUGAAAUUCGUAGAUAUUCGCAAGAACACCAGUGGCGAAGGCGGCUCACUGGCCCGGUACUGACGCUGAGGUGCGAAAGCGUGGGGAGCGAACGGG